UUUUUUUUAAACUGGUUUGGGAAAACCAAAUAUAUUAUAUAUUUUGCUUUGUUCAAAAUAAGGUUUUCUAAUAAAUUAUGUUUUUAUCAGAUAUGACAGAAUCUUUUUUAAAAUCUCUUCAAUAUGCUUUUAUUGCUUUUGAGAGGUUUUGUUACUUUGAGUAAAAUUAAGUGUUCAUAACAGACGGGUAGUCAUGAUUGAGUUCAUUGUGUA
rnacentral:rRNA from 1 species